GCGAGGAAAGACGUUNGGUACUGGUUCGGGGUGCGGCCAAAAGAUGGUCGCCCCUCUCCUAUCUCACCGCAUGUUUAUGAAGGACUGGGUGUUAAAUCACUUGCAUACGACCUGAUUCUGGGUCAGGGUGUCGUAAGUAGCAGAGCAGCUUUAUGACUGCGAUCU
rnacentral:rRNA from 1 species